GACGAACGCUGGCGGCGUGCUUAACACAUGCAAGUCGAACGGAAAGGCCCCUUUGGGGGUACUCGAGUGGCGAACGGGUGAGUAACACGUGAGUAACCUGCCCUUGACUUCGGGAUAACUUCAGGAAACUGGGGCUAAUACCGGAUAGGAAUCCUUGCUGCAUGGUGGGGGUUGGAAAGCUUCGGCGGUUUUGGAUGGACUCGCGGCUUAUCAGCUUGUUGGUGGGGUAGUGGCUUACCAAGGCUUUGACGGGUAGCCGGCCUGAGGGGGCGACCGGCCACAUUGGGACUGAGAUACGGCCCAGACUCCGACGGGAGGCAGAAGUGGGGAAUAUUGCACAAUGGGCGGAAGCCUGAUGCAGCAACGCCGCGUGCGGGAUGACGGCCUUCGGGUUGUAAACCGCUUUCAGCAGGGGCGAAGCUUGUGGUGACGGUACCUGCAGAAGAAGCACCGGCUAACUACGUG
rnacentral:rRNA from 1 species